UACGUAGGGUGCAAGCGUUAAUCGGAAUUACUGGGCGUAAAGCGUGCGUAGGCGGUUAUUCAAGUCAGAGGUGAAAGCCCGGGGCUCAACCCCGGAACUGCCUUUGAAACUAGAUAGCUAGAAUCCUGGAGAGGUCAGUGGAAUUCCGAGUGUAGAGGUGAAAUUCGUAGAUAUUCGGAAGAACACCAGUGGCGAAGGCGACUGACUGGACAAGCAUUGACGCUGAGGCACGAAAGCGUGGGGAGCAAACAGG
rnacentral:rRNA from 1 species